AGUGUAGCUCAACUGGUAAAACCAUUGGUUGAUAAUGCCAGAGGUCUGGGGUUCAAAUCCCACUAGCAUUA